GCAGGAUGUUACUCUGUGUGGGCAGACAAUUGAAGCCUUCUCAAGAGGGCAAAUGGAUAUCUGGUAACUGCUGAAACAGAAGGAAGAAAUUGCAGAGGUGUCUGCUCUGUCUGGAAGGCUUCAAAAGGUUAUUUUGAUGAACUUACUGCUUUCCAGAGCAGUGCUUUUCCAAGCAAGCACCAGUUCUGGAGUCAUGGCCUUUGAAUAAUUCUCCCAUUCCUGCAACAGCCACUCCUGAAGUUGCUCU